CGCAAAAAAUGUUGAGGGACCAAUAAAGAAAUUAAUCCAGGCUUCCGAAACGUUGCGUUUAACACGGGACCAAAAUGAAACGAAAAUAAAAUUACGCGGCUAAUUUAAAAGAAAAAGAAAAGAAAGAAAAAAGGACCAAAUUGGAAACCAUCGCAAACGCGGAGGGACCGCGCGCGUAGAUAGCCCGUCGAAUCAAAACACGCGGAUCCUCCCCCUGGGUCGGGUCGACGCGCGGGUCGCAAGCCUCUAAACAGCGUCGUUUUAAGGCCACUUAAGCAGGCCCAAAACGGCGCCGUUUUUUUUGUUAUGUAAAAACUAACUAAACCCUAAAUCAGCAGCAAUUUUAAUUUAAAAAGAAACAAACCCUACAAAAAACUAAAGACUCCCUCUGCGCGCCGCUCAACUAACAGGCCGUUCGAAAGCCCCCUUCGCCUUUUCGUGCCUCCGAUUGCGACGGAGGGAACUGAGGUUCGACCACCAGGUUCGUCCUUUAACUGUUUCCCUUUUUUUAUGCCCGAUUAAUAAAAAAACAGAAAGGAAAAAAAAAGAAACGAAAACAGAGAAAGAAUUAAAAAAGAACACCUUAUUUCAGAAAUUUUUUUAAUUUCUUUCUAUUGAUUCUGCUUCAGUGUUUUUACAUUUGUUUCUCUGUAUUUCUUUUCGUAAAAAACUUACAAUGGUCUGUUGCGCUUGUUUGUUUUUGUUGGCAGGUACGGUGUACAGAGGUGCGUGGCGUGGAGGCGCACGCGCGGGGAAGAGGCGCGCCUGGGCUACUGCUAUGGCGGCUGAAAUAGAAAGCUGCUGAGGAAGGCUAGGGUUUCCUGUUAUUUUUGGUAUUGGGUUUUUGAGUUUGGGUUAAU
rnacentral:lncRNA from 1 species